AACAAGGUCUCCGUUGGUGAACCAGCGGAGGGAUCAUUAUCGAGUUAUUCAACUCCCAAACCCUAUGUGAACUUACCACUUGUUGCUUCGGCGCGCGCUUCGGCGCCGCCGAGGACACUUAAACUCUUUGUUUUUAUAAGCAUUUCUGAGUGGCCGAAAGGCAAAAAUACAAAUGAAUCAAAACUUUCAACAACGGAUCUCUUGGUUCUGGCAUCGAUGAAGAACGCAGCGAAAUGCGAUAAGUAAUGUGAAUUGCAGAAUUCAGUGAAUCAUCGAAUCUUUGAACGCACAUUGCGCCCGCCAGCAUUCUGGCGGGCAUGCCUGUUCGAGCGUCAUUUCAACCCUCGAGCCCGACUCUUUUGAGGACGGCUCGGCGUUGGGGGACGGCAGACUCCCCCCGGCAUCUCGCCGGGGACGCCGCCCCCGAAAUCUAGUGGCGGCCCUCCGAGGCGACCUCUGCGUAGUAACUUGUUCUCGCACCGGAAAGCUCAGAGCGGCCACGCCGUAAAACCCCAACUUUUUUCAGGAUGACCUCGAAUCAGGUAGGACUACCCGCUGAACUUAAGCAUAUCAAUA
rnacentral:rRNA from 1 species